UGGGGAAUUUUGGACAAUGGGCGAAAGCCUGAUCCAGCAAUGCCGCGUGUGUGAAGAAGGCCUUCGGGUUGUAAAGCACUUUUGUCCGGAAAGAAAUCCUUGGCUCUAAUACAGUCGGGGGAUGACGGUACCGGAAGAAUAAGCACCGGCUAACUACGUGCCAGCAGCCGCGGUAAUACGUAGGGUGCAAGCGUUAAUCGGAAUUACUGGGCGUAAAGCGUGCGCAGGCGGUUUGCUAAGACCGAUGUGAAAUCCCCGGGCUCAACCUGGGAACUGCAGGUGACUGGCAGGCUAGAGUAUGGCAGAGGGGGGUAGAAUUCCACGUGUAGCAGUGAAAUGCGUAGAGAUGUGGAGGAAUACCGAUGGCGAAGGCAGCCCCCUGGGCCAAUACUGACGCUCAUGCACGAAAGCGUGGGGAGCAAACAGGAUUAGAUACCCUGGUAGUCCACGCCCUAAACGAUGUCAACUAGUUGUUGGGGAUUCAUUCCUUAGUAACGUAGCUAACGCGUGAAGUUGACCGCCUGGGGAGUACGGUCGCAAGAUUAAAACUUAAAUGAAUUGACGGGGUCAUAGCUGUUUCCU
rnacentral:rRNA from 1 species